AACUUUUAACAAUGGAUCUCUUGGCUCUGGCAUCGAUGAAGAACGCAGCGAAAUGCGAUAAGUAAUGUGAAUUGCAGAAUUCCGUGAAUCAUCGAAUCUUUGAACGCACAUUGCGCCCCUUGGUAUUCUGAGGGGCAUGCCUGUUCGAGCGUCAUUAACACCCCUCAAGCUUGCUUGGUCUUGGGGCCCGCGUUCCGCGGCCCUUAAAAUCAGUGGCGGUGCCGCCCGGCUCUCAGCGUAGUAAUGCUCUCGCUCGUGGGUCGGCCGGUGACGCUUUGUUAACUUUCAUGUUUGACCUCGGAUCAGGUAGGGAUACCCGCUGAACUUAAGCAUAUCAAUAAGCGGAGGCU
rnacentral:misc_RNA from 1 species